rnacentral:rRNA from 1 species
AGGCCAGACUCCUACGGGAGGCAGCAGUGGGGAAUAUUGCACAAUGGGGGAAACCCUGAUGCAGCGACGCCGCGUGAAGGAUGAAGUAUUUCGGUAUGUAAACUUCUAUCAGCAGGGAAGAAAAUGACGGUACCUGACUAAGAAGCCCCGGCUAACUACGUGCCAGCAGCCGCGGUAAUACGUAGGGGGCAAGCGUUAUCCGGAUUUACUGGGUGUAAAGGGGGCGCAGACGGCGAUGCAAGCCAGGAGUGAAAGCCCGGGGCCCAACCCCGGGACUGCUCUUGGAACUGCGUGGCUGGAGUGCAGGAGGGGCAGGCGGAAUUCCUGGUGUAGCGGUGAAAUGCGUAGAUAUCAGGAGGAACACCGGUGGCGAAGGCGGCCUGCUGGACUGCAACUGACGUUGAGGCCCGAAAGCGUGGGGAGCAAACAGGAUUAGAUACCCGAGUAA